rnacentral:misc_RNA from 1 species
ACAUUACAUCGCACUGAACUCGACAAAUGGUAAGUAUAUAUAUAUGGUUUGAAAUUUGAAAACUCAAAUUCUGAGAAAAGAAAUAGUAAAGUCACGUCAUAAAAUGAACACGUCCUACUAUAAGAGCAGUUAAAGCUUAGGAAAAAUCAAUAUAAUUAUAAUUGCGUAAAUUACUCUUUUUUUGAUUAGGGUGCAUGCCCCUGCAACGAGUUUUCUUUAUUCAUUUUUUAUGAUAAUGCUUUCAUUUUUAUGCGAUGUCUCUAAGUGAUAUACCCCUAGAACUUGAGGACAUUUAACAUAUGAAUUUGGUGAAGAUUCGUGGUUCAAAAGUUGGAUAACUAUUACGAUGAAUAUCAUUAGAAACAGGAGGCGUUUCUUUGACUUGGGAUGCUCAUUUUGGAUUAAUAUGAAUGGAAAAUCCAGGUACUUAUAUCCAAUUUUUCAAUGGUAAAUUCAUUUUGAUUCACAUAAUCAUAAUUUUUAACUUUAAAAUUCUACAUGUAAAAUGAAAAAUUACAAGUACAAUCAAUAGCGAGGCUGUAAGCAAGUGUUUGAUAGGACUGUUUGUUUUAUCUGAGAAAUAUACAUCUUAUAUAGAAAUGUUUUGGCGGACAUAUUGUUUAAUGGCAUUGCCAUUGCAAAUCAGUAUUUUAUAAAUACGAUGCAUAUUUGACGUAGUAUUAAAUUGAGCUAUGUGCACUUUUUAACCCAUUAAAAGAAUUCAAAAUAAGCAGAUGUCCAAAGAUAAAAAUAACAUUGCUCGACGACGAUAUUAUAAUGCGUAAUUUUACAGGAGUGUAGACAAAGGAAUGCAAGUACCUUCCGUGCAAGCCAAUUUAUUUUCAUCAGCAGCUUUUUCUGCCUCUCUCCAUAACCCUGGCAAACUCCAUAAAACAAAACUUGCAAAUUCUCAAAAUACAAAAUGAUACAUGGGGUGACCUAGUUCUUUUCAUUAACAUAGUGCAGGCGAGGUUGCAUCAUGUUUUGAAAAUUCUGUGAUGUAUCAGGAAUUCCGUUUGUAUUAUUAUCAUAUUCGAAUUACCACAGAAAUCAGUGGCAGCAAAUGCGUUUCUAAACGGUUUUAUUACUUUCUUAAGCAAUAUAAUGAGCAACUAUACUUUUUUUUUGUAUGUGUGUUGAAUUUUGACAAUGCUUUUUUCAAACAAACGGGGAAAUGGCGAACAAAAGUCUUCAUUGAUUGAACACUUGUGAAUAAUUUGU